rnacentral:rRNA from 1 species
UACAGAGGUCUCAAGCGUUUGUUCGGAUUCAUUGGGCGUAAAGGGUGUGUAGGUGGCGCCGUAAGUCGGGUGUGAAAUUUCGGAGCUUAACUCCGAAACUGCAUUCGAUACUGCGGUGCUUGAGGACUGGAGAGGAGACUGGAAUUCAUGGUGUAGCAGUGAAAUGCGUAGAGAUCAUGAGGAAGACCAGUGGCGAAGGCGGGUCUCUGGGCCGUAACUGACGCUGAGGAGCGAAAGCUGGGGAGCGAACAGG